rnacentral:tRNA from 1 species
AGGGGUAUAGCUCAGUGGCAGGGCACUGUGCUUAGCAUGCACAAGGUCCUGGAUUUAAUCCCCAGGACCUCCA